CCUACGGGAGACAGCAGUAGGGAAUAUUGCACAAUGGGGGCAACCCUGAUGCAGCAAUGCCGCGUGGAGGAUGAAGGUUUUCGGAUUGUAAACUCCUUUUGUUAGAGAAGAUAAUGACGGUAUCUCACGAAUAAGAACCGGCUAACUCCGUGCCAGCAGCCGCGGUAAUACGGAGGGUGCAAGCGUUACUCUGAAUCAUUGGGCGUAAAGAGCGCGUCGGCGGGAUAGCAAGUCAGAUGUGAAAUCCUAUGGCUUAACCAUAGAACUGCAUUUGAAACUGUUAUUCUAGAGUAUGGGAGAGGGAGGUGGAAUUCGUGGUGUAGCGGUAAAAUCCGUAGAGAUCAAGAGGAAUACUCAGUGCGAAGGCGACCUGCUAGAACAUAACUGACGCUGAUGCGCGAAAGCGUGGGGAGCAAACAGGAUUAGAUACCCGAGUAGUC
rnacentral:rRNA from 1 species